rnacentral:rRNA from 1 species
UACGUAGGGGGCGAGCGUUAUCCGGAAUUAUUGGGCGUAAAGCGCGCGCAGGCGGUUUCUUAAGUCUGAUGUGAAAGCCCACGGCUCAACCGUGGAGGGUCAUUGGAAACUGGGGAACUUGAGUGCAGAAGAGAAAAGCGGAAUUCCACGUGUAGCGGUGAAAUGCGUAGAGAUGUGGAGGAACACCAGUGGCGAAGGCGGCUUUUUGGUCUGUAACUGACGCUGAGGCGCGAAAGCGUGGGGAGCGAACAGG